AAUAGAGCUUACACUACACCUUCAUAUCAGCCUACAACUUCUAGGAUCUCCUUAGAGGACACUUUACAUGCCCUUAUGGAGGCACAAGGUAAAACCAAUCAAAAAUUUAAGACUAUGAUCGCCCAAGUUGUUGAGGAAACCAAAGAAAUGAAAAAUCUUAUGUCCAAAUUGACCAAUGCGCUAUUGUAGUGUAAUGUGAGAGGUUUCCAGAAACUGCUG
rnacentral:lncRNA from 1 species